CCUACGGGAGGCAGCAGUCGAGAAUCAUUCACAAUGGGGGAAACCCUGAUGGUGCGACGCCGCGUGGGGGAAUGAAGGUCUUCGGAUUGUAAACCCCUGUCAUGUGGGAGCAAAUUAAAAAGAUAGUACCACAAGAGGAAGAGACGGCUAACUCUGUGCCAGCAGCCGCGGUAAUACAGAGGUCUCAAGCGUUGUUCGGAAUCACUGGGCGUAAAGCGUGCGUAGGCUGUUUCGUAAGUCGUGUGUGAAAGGCGCGGGCUCAACCCGCGGACGGCACAUGAUACUGGGAGACUAGAGGAAUGGAGGGGGAACCGGAAUUCUCGGUGUAGCAGUGAAAUGCGUAGAUAGCGAGAGGAACACUCGUGGCGAAGGCGGGUUCCUGGACAUUAACUGACGCUGAGGCACGAAGGCCAGGGGAGCGAAAGGGAUUAGAUACCCGUGUAGUC
rnacentral:rRNA from 1 species